GCACAGGUGUAAUCUAGCCUCUCCUAGGCUUUGUCUGUUACCUUCCUUGGGAAUUCCACUAGCCAGACAUAGCCUGACAGAGGUUAGGUGAAAUCUGAAAA
rfam:Aedes aegypti strain Liverpool supercont1.369 genomic scaffold, whole genome shotgun sequence.